rnacentral:rRNA from 1 species
UACGUAGGGCGCAAGCGUUGUCCGGAUUUAUUGGGCGUAAAGAGCUCGUAGGCGGUUUGUCGCGUCGGCCGUGAAAUCUCCACGCUUAACGUGGAGCGUGCGGUCGAUACGGGCAGACUUGAGUUCGGUAGGGGAGACUGGAAUUCCUGGUGUAGCGGUGAAGUGCGCAGAUAUCAGGAGGAACACCGGUGGCGAAGGCGGGUCUCUGGGCCGAUACUGACGCUGAGGAGCGAAAGCGUGGGGAGCGAACAGG